rnacentral:rRNA from 1 species
ACGGGUGAGUAACACGUAGCUUACCUCCCUCCGAGAGUGGGAUAACGUUCCGAAAGGAAUGCUAAUACCGCAUAAGCUCACGAGCUACAGAGGCUCGAGAGAAAAGGGGCAACUCGCUUGGAGACGGGGCUGCGGCCCAUCAGCUAGAUGGUGAGGUAAUGGCUUACCAUGGCGACGACGGGUAGGGGACCUGAGAGGGUGACCCCCCACACUGGGACUGAGACACGGCCCAGACUCCUACGGGAGGCAGCAGUGAGGAAUAUUGCACAAUGGGCGCAAGCCUGAUGCAGCGACGCCGCGUGAGUGAAGAAGGCCUUCGGGUCGUAAAGCUCUUUUCUGCGUGACGAGCAAGGACGGUAGCGCAGGAAUAAGUCUCGGCUAACUACGUGCCAGCAGCCGCGGUAAAACGUAGGAGACAAACGUUAUCCGGAGUUACUGGGCGUAAAGGGCGUGCAGGUGGUCUGUUAAGUCUGGCGUGAAAGCUCCUGGCUAAACCGGGAGAGGUCGUUGGAUACUGGCGGACUAGAGGACGGUAGAGGCGUGUGGAAUUCCGGGUGUAGUGGUGGAAUGCGUAGA